UACGGGGGGGGGCAAGCGUUGUUCGGAAUUACUGGGCGUAAAGGGCUCGUAGGCGGCCAACUAAGUCAGACGUGAAAUCCCUCAGCUUAACUGGGGAACUGCGUCUGAUACUGGAUGGCUUGGAUUCGGGAGAGGAAUGCAGAAUUCCAGGUGUAGCGGUGAAAUGCGUAGAUAUCUGCAGGAACACCCGUGGCGAAAGCGGCGCGCUGGACCACUACUGACGCUGAGGAACGAAAGCUAGGGGAGCAAACAGG
rnacentral:rRNA from 1 species